GAUGAACGCUGGCGGCGUGCCUAAUACAUGCAAGUCGAGCGAACAUACGAGGAGUUUGUUCCUCUAACUAUAGCGGCAGAGGUGUGUGUCACACGUGUAUCCCGUCUCUAUGAGAGUGGUAACACUUCGGAAAACGGGCGCUAAUCGCAUAACAUAUAUUGCAACGCAUGGUUCAAUAAUGAAAGACGGUUUUGCUGUCACUUAUAGAUGGAUCCGCGCCGCAUUAGCUAGUUGGUAAGGUAACGGCUUACCAAGGCAACGAUGCGUAGCCGACCUGGGAGGGGGUCCGGCCCACCGGGACCGGAACACGGGUCAGGACUCCUAGGGGAGGCAGCAGAAGGGAAUGUUCGGAAAGGGGGGAAGGCCUGCCGGAGCAACGCGGCGGGAGGGAGGAAGGUCUUCGGUUCGUAAAACUCUGUUAUUAGGGAGGACCAAAUGUGUAAGUAAAGAGGGACGUCUUGACGGUACCUAAUCAGAAAGCCACGGCUAACUACGUG
rnacentral:rRNA from 1 species